rnacentral:lncRNA from 1 species
AAUUUAAUGCAGAAGAUGAAGAGAUUGGUAUUUUAUUUUUUUGGGUAAACUUGAAAUAUUACUUCUGUAGUUUCGCCUUUUUUAAUUUUAGUACCAUAUGAUUUAAAAUGUAUCAAUUUUGUAUUUUGUUUUUUUUUUUUCUCGUCAACUCCUUCGUUAACAUUUUAUUAAAUUAUAUAUAAAAAACUUCAGAUAUUUCAUCUAGAUUUAUCGAAUAUUCAUUUUAAUACCUUUUAGUUUUAACUUUGUCACUAAUUUAACGAAAAAAAUUAGUAGAUGGGAUAAUAAAAAAAAUUUGAAAUCACGGGGUAUUAAAUUGAUACAUUUUAAACCACAAGGUAUUAAAAUAAAAAAGUACAAAAUUAUAGGGGCGGUAUUUGAAGUUUUUUCUUAUUUUUUUAUCUUAUUUUUAUUUCUAAGAACCAAAAUCUUUAGUGAUAAUUGCCCCUAUACCUCUCAAAAUUUUUAAAAUAUUUUAUUUACCUCUAUUUUUUUAUUUCAAAUAAAUCUUUUAUAUAUUUUUUCGUUAUUGAAAAAUGCCCCUACUGUUAGUGCCCGUUAAAUCAUUCCAGGUUAAAUCUGAAUUAAAUUUUUAUAAUAGUUAAAAAAUAGUAAAAUACAUAUUUUGUCCCUAACUUAAGGGCAAAUUAAAAAAAUUGGUGAUACUAGAAGAGUAUAUUUGAAAAUACAAAAAGUCAAAAUACUUCUUUUGCCCCACAUUAAAGGCAAAUAAGAAAAGUUGGUGAUAAUAAAAGGAUAUAUUUGAAAGGACAAAAUAGUAAUUUAAUAGAGAUAACGGUUAUUACUAACAAUUUACUAAGAGAAUUUAACUCUAUCACUAUAUUUAAAAAACUUUGGAACUUUAAAAAGGUAUUUUUAAUAUUAACUUUCCAAAAAGGGUAAAUAAAAAAGUCAAUCGGAAACUUUUUAGGAGUAUAUAAGCAAUUGUCCCAAAUAUUUAAGGCUUCGUUUGGAAUUGCGGGGAAAUAGCGUUACGUGCAAUGAGAAAGUACGAUGAAAAAAUACUAUGUUUGUUUUUAUACCUAAUAUUGCGUUUCGCAUAUCGCGAUGAGUCGGUUACAAUAUAUUUUCUGCGGUUUCAUCGAAGAACGUAGAAAUAUAUUUUUAUAUAUUUUUUAUUCCAACUCUAUCUUAUCUAAUAGCGUUUGAUGGGACUCGAUACCAAACAAAGCGUGAGUAAACUAGCUAUGUUUUUUUUCUCUUUU